rnacentral:rRNA from 1 species
CACCAGACUCCUACGGGAGGCAGCAGUGGGGGAUAUUGCACAAUGGGGGAAACCCUGAUGCAGCGACGCCGCGUGAGUGAAGAAGUAAUUCGUUACGUAAAGCUCUAUCAGCAGGGAAGAAAAUGACGGUACCUGACUAAGAAGCCCCGGCUAACUACGUGCCAGCAGCCGCGGUAAUACGUAGGGGGCAAGCGUUAUCCGGAUUUACUGGGUGUAAAGGGAGCGUAGACGGCCAGACAAGUCUGAAGUGAAAAUCCAGCGCUUAACGUUGGAAGUGCUUUGGAAACUGCCGGGCUGGAGUGCCGGAGAGGUAGGCGGAAUUCCUAGUGUAGCGGUGAAAUGCGUAGAUAUUAGGAGGAACACCAGUGGCGAAGGCGGCCUACUGGACGGUGACUGACGCUGAGGCUCGAAAGCGUGGGGAGCAAACAGGAUUAGAUACCCGAGUACA